rnacentral:rRNA from 1 species
AACGUAGGAGACGAGCGUUAUCCGGAUUUACUGGGCGUAAAGAGCGUGUAGGAGGCAAUACAAGUUGGAUGUGAAAGCUCCCGGCUUAACUGGGAGAGGUCGUUCAAGACUGUAUAGCUAGAGGAAGGCAGAGGUAGAUGGAACUCCGGGAGUAGUGGUGAAAUGCGUAGAUAUCCGGAAGAACACCAGAGGCGAAAGCGAUCUACUGGGCCUUAACUGACACUGAGACGCGAAAGCCAGGGUAGCAAACGGGAUUAGAUACCCGCGUAGUCCCU